CUGGCCAUCGUGCGGAGCUGGUCCUUCCCCUGGGCCGAGGGAAGGCGAUCAUUUUUAUUCAGCAAGCAGACAGCACUUUUUUCCCCCUCCCCAACUUGCUGGGCUGUCAUGUUUAAAUAUGAAAAUGUUGCUUAUAGCCAAAUGUUAGUGACAGCAGCCUGUGGCGUCUAUCAUUGUUUGCACUCUCACUCCUGCUAAAAAUAGGCUUGCUCUCUCUGGAUUCCUUCAAGUUCCACAUCUGCAGGAAGUUUUUGUUGCUGUUGCUGGCCUUUUCCUUUCUUUCCUGAAGAUUACUGUUCUUUGGCUCUGCCAGGGUCCCCUCCCUCUCCCCUUCCCGGGAAACCACCAAUAAACAUCCCAGGCUCAGAUGGUUCAACAAAGGCCUCACGGGUGUUCUCCGUUAUUGCCCCAGCCUCCCUUCUGCAGUCUUAGGAACCGAGGGAGGUGGGCAGCAGCAGGGCAGAAAGAGCCAUCUGACCUUCAGAAGCAAAGCCUGAAGUCUGAGGCUACAGGCCGGGCAGCCAGGAAGGGGGGAACCAGAAGGAUCGGCUUCUGGGACUCUCCAUGGAGCUCGCCAAGCAGACAGCUGCUCCCACCAGCAUUCUGGAAUCAUUCCGUCUUCUAGUCCCUUUUGGUUCCUAGAGAAAAUAAGUGAAUGAUUACUCCAUCACAGCCCAAAGCAUGGAGCCAUUUGAUUGUGGACCGGACACUCCUACACUGACACCUACACCAAAUGGAACUUGGCAGUGAGACGACCCGGCUUCCCUUGCUUGUAAAGGCUGGCAGUGUAAGGUGUAACCUCACUGGACAGCUUGUGCACACUCCCUGGAGGGCGUUUUGGAGGUGGGCCGCAGUGCACAGAUACCCACGUGUAAGAUAAGAGAGGAUUAGGAUGCCAGUUUCCAGUUCUUGUCCAUCAUUUGGGGGGAACUCACAAUGCACACAUGAACAUAUUAGUACCUCUGUACGUGCUCAAACCUCACAGGUAGAUAUUAUGAGGGUGUGCUCACUCCCCCCUCAACUUUCGGAUAUGUAAUGAAAAACCUACUGAAACUGCA